rnacentral:rRNA from 1 species
UACGAAGGGGGCUAGCGUUGUUCGGAAUUACUGGGCGUAAAGCGCACGUAGGCGGACUACUAAGUCAGGGGUGAAAUCCCGGGGCUCAACCCCGGAACUGCCUUUGAUACUGGUAGUCUCGAGUCCGGAAGAGGUGAGUGGAAUUCCGAGUGUAGAGGUGAAAUUCGUAGAUAUUCGGAGGAACACCGGUGGCGAAGGCGGGCCUCUGGGCCGAUACUGACGCUGAGGAGCGAAAGCGUGGGGAGCGAACAGG